UACAGAGGUCUCAAGCGUUGUUCGGAUUCAUUGGGCGUAAAGGGUGCGUAGGCGGCGCGGUAAGUCGGGUGUGAAAUCUCGGGGCUUAACUCCGAAACUGCAUUCGAUACUGCCGUGCUUGAGGACUGGAGAGGAGACUGGAAUUUACGGUGUAGCGGUGAAAUGCGUAGAUAUCGUAAGGAAGACCAGUGGCGAAGGCGGGGUCUCUGGACAGUUCCUGACGCUGAGGCACGAAGGCCCAGGGGAGCAAAACGGG
rnacentral:rRNA from 1 species